rnacentral:rRNA from 1 species
UGCAGUCGAGCGAACAGAAGGAGCUUGCUCCCGGAUGUUAGCGGCGGACGGGUGAGUAACACGUGGGUAACCUGCCUGUAAGACUGGGAUAACUCCGGGAAACCGGAGCUAAUACCGGAUAGUUCCUUGAACCGCAUGGUUCAAGGAUGAAAGACGGUUUCGGCUGUCACUUACAGAUGGACCCGCGGCGCAUUAGCUAGUUGGUGGGGUAAUGGCUCACCAAGGCGACGAUGCGUAGCCGACCUGAGAGGGUGAUCGGCCACACUGGGACUGAGACACGGCCCAGACUCCUACGGGAGGCAGCAGUAGGGAAUCUUCCGCAAUGGACGAAAGUCUGACGGAGCAACGCCGCGUGAGUGAUGAAGGUUUUCGGAUCGUAAAGCUCUGUUGUUAGGGAAGAACAAGUGCGAGAGUAACUGCUCGCACCUUGACGGUACCUAACCAGAAAGCCACGGCUAACUACGUGCCAGCAGCCGCGGUAAUACGUAGGUGGCAAGCGUUGUCCGGAAUUAUUGGGCGUAAAGGGCUCGCAGGCGGUUUCUUAAGUCUGAUGUGAAAGCCCCCGGCUCAACCGGGGAGGGUCAUUGGAAACUGGGAAACUUGAGUGCAGAAGAGGAGAGUGGAAUUCCACGUGUAGCGGUGAAAUGCGUAGAGAUGUGGAGGAACACCAGUGGCGA